rnacentral:rRNA from 1 species
UCCCGCAAGGGAUUAGUAGAGUGGCAAACGGGUGAGUAACACGUGGGUGACCUGCCUUCGAGUGGGGGAUAACGUCCCGAAAGGGACGCUAAUACCGCAUAACAUCCUGCUUUUUAAGAGGUGGAGAUCAAAGCCGGGGAUCGCAAGACCUGGCGCUUGAAGAGGGGCCCGCGUCCGAUUAGCUAGUUGGUGGGGUAAUGGCUCACCAAGGCUUCGAUCGGUAUCCGGCCUGAGAGGGCGGACGGACACACUGGGACUGAGACACGGCCCAGACUCCUACGGGAGGCAGCAGUGGGGAAUUGUUCGCAAUGGGCGCAAGCCUGACGACGCAACGCCGCGUGGAGGAUGAAGAUUUUCGGAUCGUAAACUCCUUUCGAUCGAGACGAACGGCCUCUGGGUUAACAGCCCGGAGGAGUGACGGUACCGAGAGAAGAAGCCCCGGCUAACUCCGUGCCAGCAGCCGCGGUAAUACGGGGGGGGCAAGCGUUGUUCGGAAUUACUGGGCGUAAAGGGCUCGUAGGUGGCCAACUAAGUCAGACGUGAAAUCCCUCGGCUUAACCGGGGAACUGCGUCUGAUACUGGAUGGCUUGAGUUCGGGAGAGGGAUGCGGAAUUCCAGGUGUAGCGGUGAAAUGCGUAGAUAUCUGGAGGAACACCGGUGGCGAAGGCGGCAUCCUGGACCGACACUGACGCUGAGGAGCGAAAGCCAGGGGAGCAAACGGGAUUAGAUACCCCGGUAGUCCUGGCCCUAAACGAUGAAUGCUUGGUGUGGCGGGUAUCGAUCCCUGCCGUGCCGAAGCUAACGCAUUAAGCAUUCCGCCUGGGGAGUACGGUCGCAAGGCUGAAACUC